rnacentral:rRNA from 1 species
UUGUGUGGUUAAACCGUCCUGUCAGAUCUCAGAAGCUAAACCGGGCUGGGCCUGGUCAGGACUUGGAUGGGAGACCGCUGGGAAUAUCAGGUGCCACAGAAC